AGAGAGAGACAUGCGCGCAUAUCAAUAAGCGGAGGAAAAGAAACUAACAAGGAUUCCCUUAGUAACGGCGAGUGAAGCGGGAAGAGCUCAAAUUUGAAAUCUUCAAGGUUCUACCUUGACGAAUUGUAGUUUAAAGAAGUGUUUUCUGUUGAAGUUUUGGUAAAAGUUCUUUGGAAUAGGACAUCAUAGAGGGUGAGAAUCCCGUAUUUGACCAUUAUUUUCAGCUUUGUGAUACACUUUCAAAGAGUCGGAUUGUUUGGGAAUGCAGUCCAAAAUGGGUGGUAAAUUUCAUCUAAAGCUAAAUAUUGGCGAAAGACCGAUAGCGAACAAGUACCGUGAGGGAAAGAUGAAAAGAACUUUGAAAAGAGAGUUAAACAGUACGUGAAAUUGUCAAAAGGGAAGCGUUUGACACCAGUGUUGUUUUCUCGAAAAUCAAUUAAAAAUGGCUCGAUUUUGUAUUGCUUGAGACCUUAAAAGCUCACUGUACAUUUUUCGUGUCUUUUUUAAUGCACUUUUCGUUUAACAAGUCAACAUCAGUUUCUUUUGUUGUAAAAGGGUCAUUGGAAGGUGGCUCUCUUUUCGGAGAAAGUGUUUAUAGCCUUUGGCCUCUGCAAUCGGAGAGACUGAGGUCUGCAGCGUAGACUCUUCGGGGUUAGAUACAUUUGUGCUAAGUUAUAGCUUUUUAUAGACAACUUGUUGACUAUAAUUAGUCUUGUAGCUUACUCGCUUAUGCUAUUUUACCUACGCUUAGGAUGUUGAAGAUGUAACACAUCAU
rnacentral:rRNA from 1 species